UACGGGGGGGGCAAGCGUUGUUCGGAAUUACUGGGCGUAAAGGGCUCGUAGGCGGCCAACUAAGUCGGAUGUGAAAUCCCCAAGCUUAACUUGGGAACUGCAUCCGAUACUGGAUGGCUUGAAUCCGGGAGAGGGAUGCAGAAUUCCAGGUGUAGCGGUGAAAUGCGUAGAUAUCUGGAGGAAUACCGGUGGCGAAGGCGGGACUCUGGGCCGAUACUGACGCUGAGGAGCGAAAGCGUGGGGAGCAAACAGG
rnacentral:rRNA from 1 species